rfam:Coriobacteriaceae bacterium BV3Ac1 contig00002, whole genome shotgun sequence.
UAAAAAGCACGUCCGCUGCCAGAGACAGCCGGUGCCGUAAGGCUUAAAGGGGAGACCCGCCUGCCGAGGUGGUCAUUAGAAUGCACUUUCUAAGACCCCGCCUGGCACGCCAGGUGGGGUCUUUGCGUAUGCAG